CCCUACUCCUACGGGAGGCAGCAGUAGGGAAUCUUCCACAAUGGACGAAAGUCUGAUGGAGCAACGCCGCGUGAGUGAAGAAGGUUUUCGGAUCGUAAAACUCUGUUGUUGAAGAAGAACAUACUGUGAGAGUAACUGUCACGUACUGACGGUAUCAACCAGAAAGCCACGGCUAACUACGUGCCAGCAGCCGCGGUAAU
rnacentral:rRNA from 1 species